rnacentral:rRNA from 1 species
UCCUACGGGAGGCAGCAGUGAGGAAUUUUGCGCAAUGGGGGAAACCCUGACGCAGCAACGCCGCGUGAGUGAUGAAGGCUUUCGGGUCGUAAAGCUCUGUCAAGUGAGAAGAACCUGCCCUUUGCUAAUAUCAUUGGGCACUGACGGUAUCACUGAAGGAAGCACCGGCUAACUCCGUGCCAGCAGCCGCGGUAAUACGGAGGGUGCAAGCGCUAUUCGGAAUCACUGGGCGUAAAGAGCGCGUAGGCGGUUUCUAAAGUCAGAUGUGAAAGCCCGGGGCUCAACCCCGGAAGUGCAUUUGAAACUUAGGGACUUGAGUAUGGGAGAGGGAAGUGGAAUUCCUGGUGUAGCGGUGAAAUGCGUAGAUAUCAGGAGGAACACCGGUGGCGAAGGCGACUUCCUGGACCAAUACUGACGCUGAGGCGCGAAAGCGUGGGGAGCAAACAGGAUUAGAUACCCUGGUAGUCCACGCAGUAAACGUUGAACACUAGGUGUAGCGGGUAUUGACCCCUGCUGUGCCGCAGCUAACGCAUUAAGUGUUCCGCCUGGGGAGUACGGCCGCAAGGCUAAAACUCAAAUGAAUUGACGG